rnacentral:rRNA from 1 species
UGUAGAGUCUUGACGGUAUCGUAAGAAUAAGGAUCGGCUAACUCCGUGCCAGCAGCCGCGGUAAUACGGAGGAUCCAAGCGUUAUCCGGAAUCAUUGGGUUUAAAGGGUCCGUAGGCGGUUUAGUAAGUCAGUGGUGAAAGCCCAUCGCUCAACGGUGGAACGGCCAUUGAUACUGCUAGACUUGAAUUAUUAGGAAGUAACUAGAAUAUGUAGUGUAGCGGUGAAAUGCUUAGAGAUUACAUGGAAUACCAAUUGCGAAGGCAGGUUACUACUAAUUGAUUGACGCUGAUGGACGAAAGCGUGGGUAGCGAACAGGAUUAGAUACCCUGGUAGUCCACGCCGUAAACGAUGGAUACUAGCUGUUGGGAGCAAUCUCAGUGGCUAAGCGAAAGUGAUAAGUAUCCCACCUGGGGAGUACGAACGCAAGUUUGAAACUCAAAUGAAUUGACGGG